rnacentral:rRNA from 1 species
AUUGAACGCUGGCGGCAUGCUUUACACAUGCAAGUCGAACGGCAGCGCGGGCUUCGGCCUGGCGGCGAGUGGCGAACGGGUGAGUAAUGCAUCGGAACGUGCCCAGUAGUGGGGGAUAGCCCGGCGAAAGCCGGAUUAAUACCGCAUACGACCUGAGGGUGAAAGCGGGGGACCGAAAGGCCUCGCGCUAUUGGAGCGGUCGAUGUCGGAUUAGCUAGUUGGUGGGGUAAAGGCUUACCAAGGCGACGAUCCGUAGCUGGUCUGAGAGGACGACCAGCCACACUGGGACUGAGACACGGCCCAGACUCCUACGGGAGGCAGCAGUGGGGAAUUUUGGACAAUGGGGGCAACCCUGAUCCAGCCAUGCCGCGUGCGGGAAGAAGGCCUUCGGGUUGUAAACCGCUUUUGUUCGGGAAGAAAUCCUCUGGGCUAAUACCCCGGGGGGAUGACGGUACCGGAAGAAUAAGCACCGGCUAACUACGUG